rnacentral:rRNA from 1 species
AACGAACGCUGGCGGCAUGCCUAACACAUGCAAGUCGAACGAGACCUUCGGGUCUAGUGGCGCACGGGUGCGUAACGCGUGGGAACCUGCCCUUAGGUUCGGAAUAACUCCCCGAAAGGGGUGCUAAUACCGGAUAAUGUCUUCGGACCAAAGAUUUAUCGCCUUUGGAUGGGCCCGCGUUGGAUUAGCUGGUUGGUAGGGUAAAAGCCUACCAAGGCGCCGAUCCAUAGCUGGUCUGAGAGGAUGAUCAGCCACACUGGGACUGAGACACGGCCCAGACUCCUACGGGAGGCAGCAGUGGGGAAUAUUGGACAAUGGGCGAAAGCCUGAUCCAGCAAUGCCGCGUGAGUGAUGAAGGCCUUAGGGUUGUAAAGCUCUUUUACCCGGGAUGAUAAUGACAGUACCGGGAGAAUAAGCUCCGGCUAACUCCGUG